AUUGAACGCUGGCGGCAUGCCUAACACAUGCAAGUCGAACGAGUGGCGGACGGGUGAGUCAUGUAUGGGAAACUGCCUGGUGGCGGGGGAUAACUACUGGAAACAGUAGCUAAUACCGCAUACUAUCAGAUCGGCCCAAAUGGGAUUAGCUUGUUGGUGGGGUAAAGGCUCACCAAGGCGACGAUCCCUAGCUGGUCUGAGAGGAUGACCAGCCACACGGGAAGUGAGACACGGUCCAGACUCCUACGGGGGGCAGCAGUGGGGAAUAUUGCACAAGGGGCGAAAGCCUGAUGCAGCCAUGCCGCGUGUAUGAAGACGGCCUUCGGGUUGUAAAGUACUUUCAGCAGGGAGGCGUUACCCGAAGAAGAAGCACCGGCUAACUCCGUGCCAGCAGCCGCGGUAAUAC
rnacentral:rRNA from 1 species